UCGAGUCGUCCUGCGCGGAAGAUGUACCGGGGCUAAACAUACCACCGAAGCUGCGGCAGCAUGUUUACAUGCUGGGUAGGGGAGCGUUGUGUAAGUGGCUGAAGGUGAGUCGAGAGGCUUGCUGGACAUAUCACAAGUGCGAAUGCUGACAUGAGUAACGAUAAAGGGGGUGAAAAACCCCCUCGCCAGAAGUCCAAGGUUUCCUACGCAACGUUAAUCGGCGUAGGGUUAGUCGGCCCCUAAGGCGAGGCAGAAAUGCGUAGUCGAUGGGAAACGGGUUAAUAUUCCCGUACUUGGAAUAAUUGCGAUGGGGGGACGGAGCAGGCUAAACAAGCAUGGCGUUGGUUGUCCAUGUGAAAGUAUGUAGGCUGGAAUCUUAGGUAAAUCCGGGAUUCUAAGGCUGAG
rnacentral:rRNA from 1 species